rnacentral:rRNA from 1 species
CCUACGGGUGGCAGCAGUGAGGAAUAUUGGUCAAUGGACGAGAGUCUGAACCAGCCAAGUAGCGUGAAGGAUGACUGCCCUAUGGGUUGUAAACCUCUUUUACAAGGGAAUAAAACGCGGCACGUGUGCCUGUUUGCAUGUACUUUAUGAAUAAGGGUCGGCUAACUCCGUGCCAGCAGCCGCGGUAAUACGGAAGGCCCGAGCGUUAUCCGGAUUUAUUGGGGUUAAAGGGAGCGUCGGUGGGUUGUUAAAUCAGUUGUGAAAGUUUGCGGCUCAACCGUAAAAUUGCAAUUGAUACUGGCAGUCUUGAGUACAGUUGAGGCAAGCGGAAUUCGUGGUGUAGCGGUGAAAUGCUUAGAUAUCACGAAGAACCCCGAUUGCGAAGGCAGCUUACUAGACUGUGACUGACAUUGAUGCUCGAAGGUGUGGGUAUCAAACAGGAUUAGAUACCCCUGUAGUC